GGAGCGGUGGCCGAGUGGUUUAAGGUACCGCACUCGAAAUGCGGCGUGCGCCUAAAGCGUACCGAGAGUUCGAAUCUCUCCCGCUCCGCCA
rnacentral:tRNA from 2 species